UACGUAGGGUGCGAGCGUUGUCCGGAAUUAUUGGGCGUAAAGGGCUCGUAGGCGGUUUGUCGCGUCGGGAGUGAAAACCUUGGGCUUAACUCAGGGCUUGCUUUCGAUACGGGCAGACUAGAGGUAUGCAGGGGAGAACGGAAUUCCUGGUGUAGCGGUGAAAUGCGCAGAUAUCAGGAGGAACACCGGUGGCGAAGGCGGGUCUCUGGGCCGAUACUGACGCUGAGGAGCGAAAGUGUGGGGAGCGAACAGG
rnacentral:rRNA from 1 species